rnacentral:rRNA from 1 species
AUUGAACGCUGGCGGCAGGCCUAACACAUGCCAGUCGAGCGGAUGAAGGGAGCUUGCUCCUGGAUUCAGCGGCGGACGGGUGAGUAAUGCCUAGGAAUCUGCCUGGUAGUGGGGGAUAACGUCCGGAAACGGGCGCUAAUACCGCAUACGUCCUGAGGGAGAAAGUGGGGGAUCUUCGGACCUCACGCUAUCAGAUGAGCCUAGGUCGGAUUAGCUAGUUGGUGGGGUAAAGGCCUACCAAGGCGACGAUCCGUAACUGGUCUGAGAGGAUGAUCAGUCACACUGGAACUGAGACACGGUGCAGACUCCUACGGGAGGCAGCAGUGGGGAAUAUUGGACAAUGGGCGAAAGCCUGAUCCAGCCAUGCCGCGUGUGUGAAGAAGGUCUUCGGAUUGUAAAGCACUUUAAGUUGGGAGGAAGGGCAGUAAGUUAAUACCUUGCUGUUUUGACGUUACCAACAGAAUAAGCACCGGCUAACUUCGUG